rnacentral:lncRNA from 1 species
UCUCUGCCAUGAAGAGAGGUCUCUUCAUGGCAGAGAUUCCCUGCCAUGAAGAGAGGUCGCUUCAUGGCAGGGAUUUCCAAGCCCAUUCCUGGCGCCAGUCAAAGUGGCAUCAGGUGGCAGAGAUUCUCUGCCAUGAAGAGAAGUCUCUUCAUGGCAGAGGCAGAGAAUAGGCUCCUGGCGCCUCGGGACAGCAAGAAGACCACUCCUGGCGCCACUUUAAGUGGCGCCAGAAUGCUGUCCCGAGGCGUGCACGCCUCGGGACAGCAAGAAGACCAUCCUGGCGCCACUUAAAGUGGCGCCAGGAUGCUGACGCCUCGGGACAGCAUGAAAAGCGUUCUAGCGCCACUUUAAGUGGCGCCAGAACGCUACCCGACAAACCUGGCGCCCUAUUUAUCCAUGCCCGUUCCAUUUAUCCACUCCCACCCGACGCCCUAUUUUACUCUCCUCUCCUCAUAUUAACUCUCUUUUACACCGACUAAAAUUCACUCAAUUCAAAUUCAAUAGCAAUUUCUGAAAGGUUAGAUACAUUACCUUUAUUUAUUGAUUUAAUUUAUAUUUUAUGUAGUGUAUUAUAAUUAUUAAUAUGCACCUUUUUUUUUUAUAUAGUAUAUCUAUUUUAGUUGAUGUUAC